GACGAACGCUGGCGGCGUGCUUAACACAUGCAAGUCGAACGGAAAGGCCCUGCUUUUGUGGGGUGCUCGAGUGGCGAACGGGUGAGUAACACGUGAGUAACCUGCCCUUGACUUUGUGAUAACUUCAGGAAACUGGGGCUAAUACCGGAUAGUAGCUCCUGCUGCAUGGUGGGGGUUGGAAAGUUUCGGCGGUUGGGGAUGGACUCGCGGCUUAUCAGCUUGUUGGUGGGGUAGUGGCUUACCAAGGCUUUGACGGGUAGCCGGCCUGAGAGGGUGACCGGCCACAUUGGGACUGAGAUACGGCCCAGACUCCUACGGGAGGCAGCAGUGGGGAAUAUUGCACAAUGGGCGGAAGCCUGAUGCAGAAACGCCGCGUGCGGGAUGACGGCCUUCGGGUUGUAAACCGCUUUCGCCUGUGACGAAGCGUGAGUGACGGUAAUGGGUAAAGAAGCACCGGCUAACUACGUG
rnacentral:rRNA from 1 species